ACGCUGGCGGCAGGCCUAACACAUGCAAGUCGAGCGGCAGCACAGGUACUUGUACCGGGUGGCGAGCGGCGGACGGGUGAGUAAUGCCUAGGAAUCUGCCUGGUAGUGGGGGAUAACGCUCGGAAACGGACGCUAAUACCGCAUACGUCCUACGGGAGAAAGCAGGGGACCUUCGGGCCUUGCGCUAUCAGAUGAGCCUAGGUCGGAUUAGCUGGUUGGUGGGGUAAUGGCUCACCAAGGCGACGAUCCGUAACUGGUCUGAGAGGAUGAUCAGUCACACUGGAACUGAGACACGGUCCAGACUCCUACGGGAGGCAGCAGUGGGGAAUAUUGGACAAUGGGCGCAAGCCUGAUCCAGCCAUGCCGCGUGUGUGAAGAAGGUCUUCGGAUUGUAAAGCACUUUAAGUUGGGAGGAAGGGCCGUUACCUAAUACGUGAUGGUUUUGACGUUACCGACAGAAUAAGCACCGGCUAACUCUGUGCCAGCAGCCGCGGUAAUACAGAGGGUGCAAGCGUUAAUCGGAAUUACUGGGCGUAAAGCGCGCGUAGGUGGUUUGUCAAGUUGAAUGUGAAAGCCCCGGGCUCAACCUGGGAACUGCAUGCAAAACUGGCAGGCUAGAGUAUGGUAGAGGGUGGUGGAAUUUCCUGUGUAGCGGUGAAAUGCGUAGAUAUAGGAAGGAACACCAGUGGCGAAGGCGACCACCUGGACUGAUACUGACACUGAGGUGCGAAAGCGUGGGGAGCAAAC
rnacentral:rRNA from 1 species